AUUGAACGCUGGCGGCAGGCUUAACACAUGCAAGUCGAACGAGUGGCGGACGGGUGAGUAAUGCUUGGGAAUCUAGCUUAUGGAGGGGGAUAACUACGGGAAACUGUAGCUAAUACCGCGUACCAUAGGAUGAGCCCAAAUGGGAUGAGGUAGGUGGUGAGGUAAAGGCUCACCAAGCCGACGAUCUCUAGCUGGUCUGAGAGGAGGACCCACCACACUGGGACUGCGACACGGCCCCGACUCCUACGGGAGGCCGCAGUGGGGAAUAUUGCGCACUGGGGGCAACCUGACGCAGCCAUGCCGCGUGAAUGAAGAAGGCCUUCGGGUUGUAAAGUUCUUUCAGCGAUGAGGCGUUACUCGCAGAAGAAGCACCGGCUAACUCCGUGCCAGCAGCCGCGGUAAUAC
rnacentral:rRNA from 1 species